AGAGUUUGAUCCUGGCUCAGGACGAACGCUGGCGGCGUGCUUAACACAUGCAAGUCGAACGCUGAAGCUCAGCUUUUGUUGGGUGGAUGAGUGGCGAACGGGUGAGUAACACGUGAGUAACCUGCCCCCUUCUUUGGGAUAACGCCCGGAAACGGGUGCUAAUACUGGAUAUUCACUGGCCUUCGCAUGGGGGUUGGUGGAAAGGUUUUUUCUGGUGGGGGAUGGGCUCGCGGCCUAUCAGCUUGUUGGUGGGGUGAUGGCCUACCAAGGCUUUGACGGGUAGCCGGCCUGAGAGGGUGACCGGUCACAUUGGGACUGAGAUACGGCCCAGACUCCUACGGGAGGCAGCAGUGGGGAAUAUUGCACAAUGGGCGAAAGCCUGAUGCAGCGACGCCGCGUGAGGGAUGACGGCCUUCGGGUUGUAAACCUCUUUCGCUCAUGGUCAAGCCGCAGCUUUGGGUUGUGGUGAGGGUAGUGGGUAAAGAAGCGCCGGCUAACUACGUGCCAGCAGCCGCGGUAAUACGUAGGGCGCGAGCGUUGUCCGGAAUUAUUGGGCGUAAAGGGCUUGUAGGCGGUUGGUCGCGUCUGCCGUGAAAUCCUCUGGCUUAACUGGGGGCGUGCGGUGGGUACGGGCUGACUUGAGUGCGGUAGGGGAGACUGGAACUCCUGGUGUAGCGGUGGAAUGCGCAGAUAUCAGGAAGAACACCGGUGGCGAAGGCGGGUCUCUGGGCCGUUACUGACGCUGAGGAGCGAAAGCGUGGGGAGCGAACAGGAUUAGAUACCCUGGUAGUCCACGCUGUAAACGUUGGGCACUAGGUGUGGGGGCCACCCGUGGUUUCUGCGCCGUAGCUAACGCUUUAAGUGCCCCGCCUGGGGAGUACGGCCGCAAGGCUAAAACUCAAAGGAAUUGAC
rnacentral:rRNA from 1 species